rnacentral:misc_RNA from 1 species
CCAAACGAGCGCAGUAUUGUGAAGUGCUCACACAGAUUGUCUGAUGAAAGAAGAGACGGUAUCAGCAUAGGCUUGUAGCUCAGGUGGUUAGAGCGCACCCCUGAUAAGGGUGAGGUCGGUGGUUCAAGUCCACUCAGGCCUACCAAAUCUUUCUUAUCCCGCGUUAUAACCAGACUCGCUUAUUUCAUUCAAUAAGCUUCGCCUGUUUAUGCCUUGGUUAAGCAAG